UCCCCGUUGUGCGGGGCAGUCUCCUGUGAAAAAUACAACACAGGACAUGGGUUGCGCUCGUUUACGGACUUAACCGAACACCUCAAGGCACGAGCUGACGACAACCAUGCAGCACCUGUCUCCAAGUUCCGUGAGGCACUCCUCUGUUUCCAGAAGAUUCUUGGGAUGUCAAGCCUAGGUAAGGUUCCUCGUUCACUAUCGAAUUAGGCCAGAUGCUCCACCGCUUGUGUGGGUCCCCGUCUAUUCCUUUGAGUUUUAAUCUUGCGAUCGUACUUCCCAGGCGGGAUACUUAAUGCGUUAGCUUCGGCACUAGAGGGGUCGAAUCCUCUAACACCUAGUAUCCAUUGUUUAGGGCGUGGACUAC
rnacentral:misc_RNA from 1 species